CGGAGGGUGCGAGCGUUGUUCGGAAUCACUGGGCGUAAAGCGCGUGUAGGCGGCCCACUAAGUCUGAUGUGAAAGCCCGGGGCUCACCCCCGGAAGUGCAUUGGAAACUGGUGGACUCGAGUCCCGGAGAGGAGAGUGGAAUUCCUGGUGUAGCGGUGAAAUGCGUAGAUAUCAGGAGGAACACCGGUGGCGAAGGCGGCUCUCUGGACGGUGACUGACGCUGAGACGCGAAAGCGUGGGGAGCAAACAGGAUUAGAUACCCUGGUAGUCCACGCCGUAAACGAUGAGCACUAGGUGUCGCGGGUAUUGACCCCUGCGGUGCCGACGCUAACGCAUUAAGUGCUCCGCCUGGGGAAUACGGCCGCAAGGUU
rnacentral:rRNA from 1 species